rnacentral:rRNA from 1 species
GACGAACGCUGGCGGCGUGCUUAACACAUGCAAGUCGAACGGACCCUUUGGGGUUAGUGGCGAACGGGUGAGUAACACGUGGGUGAUCUGCCCUGCACUUUGGGAUAAGCCUGGGAAACUGGGUCUAAUACCGGAUAGGACUACGCACUGCAUGGUGUGUGGUGGAAAGCUUUUGCGGUGUGGGAUGGGCCCGCGGCCUAUCAGCUUGUUGGUGGGGUGAUGGCCUACCAAGGCGACGACGGGUAGCCGGCCUGAGAGGGUGACCGGCCACACUGGGACUGAGAUACGGCCCAGACUCCUACGGGAGGCAGCAGUGGGGAAUAUUGCACAAUGGGCGCAAGCCUGAUGCAGCGACGCCGCGUGAGGGAUGACGGCCUUCGGGUUGUAAACCUCUUUCGCCAGGGACGAAGCGCAAGUGACGGUACCUGGAGAAGAAGGACCGGCCAACUACGUGCCAGCAGCCGCGGUAAUACGUAGGGUCCGAGCGUUGUCCGGAAUUACUGGGCGUAAAGAGCUCGUAGGUGGUUUGUCGCGUUGUUCGUGAAAACUCACAGCUUAACUGUGGGCGUGCGGGCGAUACGGGCAGACUGGAGUACUGCAGGGGAGACUGGAAUUCCUGGUGUAGCGGUGGAAUGCGCAGAUAUCGGGAGGAACACCGGUGGCGAAGGCGGGUCUCUGGGCAGUAACUGACGCUGAGGAGCGAAAGCGUGGGGAGCGAACAGGAUUAGAUACCCUGGUAGUCCACGCCGUAAACGGUGGGUACUAGGUGUGGGUUUCCUUCCUUGGGAUCCGUGCCGUAGCUAACGCAUUAAGUACCCCGCCUGGGGAGUACGGCCGCAAGGCUAAAGCUCAAAGGAAUUGACGGGGGCCCGCACAAGCGGCGGAGCAUGUGGAUUAAUUCGAUGCAACGCGAAGAACCUUACCUGGGUUUGACGUGCACAGGACGCCGGCAGAGAUGUCGGUUCCCUUGUGGCCUGUGUGCAGGUGGUGCAUGGCUGUCGUCAGCUCGUGUCGUGAGAUGUUGGGUUAAGUCCCGCAACGAGCGCAACCCUUGUCUCAUGUUGCCAGCACGUUAUGGUGGGGACUCGUGAGAGACUGCCGGGGUCAACUCGGAGGAAGGUGGGGAUGACGUCAAGUCAUCAUGCCCCUUAUGUCCAGGGCUUCACACAUGCUACAAUGGCCGGUACAAAGGGCUGCGAUGCCGUGAGGUGGAGCGAAUCCUUUCAAAGCCGGUCUCGGUUCGGAUCGGGGUCUGCAACUCGACCCCGUGAAGUCGGAGUCGCUAGUAAUCGCAGAUCAGCAACGCUGCGGUGAAUACGUUCCCGGGCCU